CGGGACUGAGCUGUUUCGAGAAAACUGAGGACUGCUAUAGUGAGGCUUCGGCUUUGCUAUAAUAGAAGCCAGUUUAAUCGCAAUGGCUUGAACCGGGCAAAAGUCGUAACAAGGUACCUGUAGGUGAACCUGCAGGUGGAUCAUCGCCAUUCCUUUCAGGAGGAUUCCGCUAUAUUCUUAGCAAGGCGAUAGCUGAUACUGGAUGCUAGUAAGCACAUCAUUCCUAAGAGUGAAGUGUACCAGAAUUGGCACCCCCAACUAUAAGCUCUGCAGAGGUGCUCCAUAUUUGACUAGAUCGUUCGUAGAGUUGCGGUAUACUGGUCGGAUGCGCUGUAACACUAAUUAGAGGUAGCCAAAUGCCUCGUCAACUAAUUAGUGACGCGCCGGGAGCGUAAAGACAUUGCCUGAAUGUCGCCUCACCCGUUUCAUCUGCUGGUGUAAUAGCUUCUUCACCUCAAUGAAUCGACGGCUUCCUUUGGGAUAGCUGUUGGUCGGCAGCUCUGUAACAACCAUUUCAUUAUAUGUUUACGUUUGUCAACUGGUUCUUUAUUGAGCUAGUUAAUACUGACAAGCUUUAGCGAUGGAUCGGUCGAUUCCCUUAACGAUGAAAAACGCAGCAAAAUGCGUUAUUUGCCAUGAAUUGCAGACACAAUGAAUGGUAAAAUUUUGAACGCACAGCACCGUUGGGUUUUCCCUUCGGUACGUCUGGUUCAGGGUUGUAUAAGUACUAUCAAGCAUGCCUGCUCGCUUGAUUUGUCGGGAAGCUAUUAGUCUUUAUUGACUGGUACCUUCUUCAGCCUCGAAUUGUAGCAACAUUCAUUGACGCUUGCGUCAGUGUUCUAUAGGUAGACAUCAAGUCCCGGCUUGAACUUACUCGUGCAUUGAGUGUAGUUUGAGCGGCCUGUAUGGGACGAAAUGCCUAAAUACCUUUGUUCUACAACCUGAACUCAGUCGUGAUUACCCGCUCAACUUAAGCAUAUCAGUCAGCGGAGGAAAA
rnacentral:rRNA from 1 species